rnacentral:rRNA from 1 species
UAACAGGAAACAGCUUGCUGUUUCGCUGACGAGUGGCGGACGGGUGAGUAAUGUCUGGGAAACUGCCUGAUGGAGGGGGAUAACUACUGGAAACGGUAGCUAAUACCGCAUAACGUCGCAAGACCAAAGAGGGGGACCUUCGGGCCUCUUGCCAUCGGAUGUGCCCAGAUGGGAUUAGCUAGUAGGUGGGGUAACGGCUCACCUAGGCGACGAUCCCUAGCUGGUCUGAGAGGAUGACCAGCCACACUGGAACUGAGACACGGUCCAGACUCCUACGGGAGGCAGCAGUGGGGAAUAUUGCACAAUGGGCGCAAGCCUGAUGCAGCCAUGCCGCGUGUAUGAAGAAGGCCUUCGGGUUGUAAAGUACUUUCAGCGGGGAGGAAGGGAGUAAAGUUAAUACCUUUGCUCAUUGACGUUACCCGCAGAAGAAGCACCGGCUAACUCCGUGCCAGUAGCCGCGGUAAUACGGAGGGUGCAAGCGUUAAUCGGAAUUACUGGGCGUAAAGCGCACGCAGGCGGUUUGUUAAGUCAGAUGUGAAAUCCCCGGGCUCAACCUGGGAACUGCAUCUGAUACUGGCAAGCUUGAGUCUCGUAGAGGGGGGUAGAAUUCCAGGUGUAGCGGUGAAAUGCGUAGAGAUCUGGAGGAAUACCGGUGGCGAAGGCGG